rnacentral:lncRNA from 1 species
UGGCAAACAUUUUGAUCCUCGAAACCAUUAGCAAUGAAGCAACAUGCUUAAGACAGAGAGAGCUAGGGAGAGAGAGAGAUGGCAACAACAACAACUUGUAUGAAUUCCUCCGGCCCCCUUCAAUUCAAUUCUUGUACAACUAUUUUCUCUCUCCUCUUUCUAUUAAUUUGAGAUUUUUGAAGAUGAACUCUACAAGAUUGUUGGCUCUUCCGGUCAUCCGAUUCAUUUUUAUGGGGAUACUUCUGGGACUAAGCCAGGCUCGGGGAUUCGGUGCUCCAGUAGCUGCACCAAAUGGUCCGAUCAGUGACGGCUCAGCAAUUGAUCAAGGCGUUGCUUAUGUCCUUUUGCUUCUAGCUCUUGCCAUUACUUACCUACUCCAUUAAUUCUUUCCAUGUUUUUUUUUUGUUUAUUCGACCAAAUUCUUUAUGUAUUUCUUCUAUUAGCUAGGAGAUACUUCCCCAUUUGGAUUCAUC